CCUACGGGUGGCUGCAGUGGGGAAUAUUGGACAAUGGGCGAAAGCCUGAUCCAGCCAUGCCGCGUGUGUGAAGAAGGCCUUCGGGUUGUAAAGCACUUUCAGUGGGGAAGAAAGCCUUGGGGCUAAUACCCUCGAGGAAGGACAUCACCCACAGAAGAAGCACCGGCUAACUCCGUGCCAGCAGCCGCGGUAAUACGGAGGGUGCGAGCGUUAAUCGGAAUUACUGGGCGUAAAGCGCGCGUAGGCGGUCUGAUAAGCCGGUUGUGAAAGCCCCGGGCUCAACCUGGGAACGGCAUCCGGAACUGUCAGGCUAGAGUGAAGGAGAGGAAAGUAGAAUUCCCGGUGUAGCGGUGAAAUGCGUAGAGAUCGGGAGGAAUACCAGUGGCGAAGGCGGCCUUCUGGACUGACACUGACGCUGAGGUGCGAAAGCGUGGGUAGCAAACAGGAUUAGAACCCUUGUAGU
rnacentral:rRNA from 1 species